GGAAGGGAAGCCUUAUCCGUGGCAGGCUUUGGAGAGUAGGGAGGUUCAGGUGAGGGUGUUAACUAUCUUCUUCACCUGGAGCAGUAUGAGAUUUCUGCAGUCGUUACUUGAUGCAGGAAUGCAAUAUCGUAUCAUCUCUAGGGAGACCCCGUGGCAUGGGGUGAGAAUGGUGUUGAAGAGUGUGGUUGCAGCUGCGUGGAUUGUGGUCUUU
rnacentral:misc_RNA from 1 species